UUUCCGUAGGUGAACCUGCGGAAGGAUCAUUAUUGUAUAACCGAGGUGCGAGGGCCGUCGCUGACCCGAAAGGUCGUGCACGCCCGAGUGCCCUUCACACACAUCCAUCUCACCCCUAUGUGCACCACCGCGUGGGUCCCCCUUUGGCUUGUUCGGAGGGGGGCUUACGUUUUCACACAAACUUUGUAUGCAGUGUAGAAUGUAUUCUUUGUUUUUGCGAUCACGCAAUCAAUACAACUUUCAACAACGGAUCUCUUGGCUCUC
rnacentral:misc_RNA from 1 species